rnacentral:lncRNA from 1 species
ACAACGUAAUAAUUUACCAUAUAAAAUUAUUAUUAUCUUUUCCGCAAUCAUCACUCAGCCUCACCUCGUUCUUGUACCAAAUAAUACGAGUGUAUUCAUCCGUAGUUUGCACGGUUUUAAAAUUUUGUCAUUCAUAUGAUGUAAAAUAUAUGUGGUAGUCUCACGUCAGAUACUGUUUUCAUUAAAUCUUAAGUAAAAGCAGAGGAGAAGAGGAAAAGGAAAGAAACGUUUGUGGAAAAAAUCAAAAUGGCAAAUUACAAUUGCGA